GGCGGCGGGCGGACUGUCUGUACUACAUCAUAGAGACGACUGCUCCAGACACGAGGACGGCGGUUGCCCAUAGCGACCAAUUAGAUAAAGGUUUUCAUGGUGUCACCUGUUCUGGAAGAAUACAAGCUGCGAUCAGGUGUGUCCAGAGGCCGAUGCCGUACCCACUCCUACUCCUCACCUCAGAGCUGCUCAGUAUGAAUAUGAAGCAUCGCUGGAUUAUAUAGUAAACUAAUAAACUACUUUACCACAGUUGCUUAUGUUAAUAUGAAGAAACAUUAGACCAGCUUGAAAAAGGAACCUGCAAUCAAGUUCACUCUAACUAAACCCUGAUAAUGCCUGGUCCAGAAAGAAUGAAAGUGAUGACAGGCUCCCUUCGAAAGAUUAACCUUAAAUCACAAAGAAUGGGAAUGUAUACAGAUGAAGUGUUGCAAACAGAUGAAAAUGGAACAAAAUAAAAUAAAAUAAAAACGUGAAGCAAACUUUUUCUCUGUUUUAUUUAUAUUCAGGUAAAAACAUGAACCUGAUGAAGUAGAUUAUUGCAGAUCUGAGAAAUCAGCACAUAGAACAGGACAUUGAGAACAUUUGCUUUCAAUUGUCAAAACAUUUCCAACCCCCCCUCCCAACUAGACCCGGAAAAAAAAACCUUAAAAAAAAUAUAAUAAUAAUAAUCUGAAGCAGAAAGAAAAUUAAACAGGGCAUUAAACUGUAUUUUUUUUUUUAUAUUUUUCUUAAAAUAUACAUUAAAUUGAAAUGCUAAGGCUGUAUUUGGAUAAAUACAUGCCAGCCAAGUUUUUUUGUUGUAUUUUUUAUUAUUAUUAUUUUUUUUUACUUUUACAUUUUAAACAAAUCAAAAAGGAACAAAAAAACACCACUCAGUUCUUUAUAUACUGUGUAAACAGUUUUAAAGUAUCCUUGAAAGAAGGCCAGUACAAACCAUGAAAUCUCUUCCUCUCAGACCAUCGUGCCCACACGUUUCGGGAGCUUGUUGGUAAAUCACCCUCUGGUAGAUGGUACUCUACCCUGAGGCAGAUUUGCUGCUUCCACAAAAAACUAACAAUGAGACUGUCUGCCAUCAAGUCUGCACUCGCAGGAAACAAUUGCACAUAACAAGUAACCAGGGAGGCUGUGUCAAGUGAGAAAAAUACACUCAACUACAUAACUAGAUUUGUCAAAGAACAGGCUUUGCGAUUCCAUGUUCCUGUAUGCAGAAUCUGCUGAUUUCAGAUGGGAACAAGUGGUGGAGGGUGUUGACUCAUUUUAGCUUGAUGGAUACACACAAACUGGGAUUUUUAAACUGCACAGCAAUAUUUAUUUUUUUCCAGCUUCAAAAACAUCCCUUUUUUUCUUCCUCAGACUGUUUUUCUUUAAUAUUCCUCCUUUUUUUUAAAGUCACACUGCAAAGCAAUUUAAAAACUUCACUCUUGAAAUAAAGGAUAAUUUAAGCAAAAGAAAAAAAAUAACUUUCUAAACAAACUUAUGUCAUUUAUCUUUCAAGCCUGAUAAGUUUUAGACAUCCAGGGGGCUGUUUAAUGGAACUAGUAGGUCUCUUUUUUUUUACUGUGUUUACAGUUAUCUGCAUUU